rnacentral:rRNA from 1 species
UCAGCAUCGAGAAGAACGCAGCGAAUUGCGAUAAGUAAUGUGAAUUGCAGAAUUCAGUGAAUCAUCGAAUCUUUGAACGCAUCUUGCGCUCUUUGGUAUUCCGAAGAGCAUGCCUGUUUGAGUGUCAU